GAUGAACGCUGGCGGCGUGCCUAAUACAUGCAAGUCGAGCGAACGGACGAGAAGCUUGCUUUUCUGAUGUUAGCGGCGGAUGGGUGAGUAACACGUGGAUAACCUACCUAUAAGACUGGGAUAACUUCGGGAAACCGGAGCUAAUACCGGAUAAUAUUUUGAACCGCAUGGUUCAAAAGUGAAAGACGGUCUUGCUGUCACUUAUAGAUGGAUCCGCGCUGCAUUAGCUAGUUGGUAAGGUAACGGCUUACCAAGGCAACGAUGCAUAGCCGACCUGAGAGGGUGAUCGGCCACACUGGAACUGAGACACGGUCCAGACUCCUACGGGAGGCAGCAGUAGGGAAUCUUCCGCAAUGGGCGAAAGCCUGACGGAGCAACGCCGCGUGAGUGAUGAAGGUCUUCGGAUCGUAAAACUCUGUUAUUAGGGAAGAACAUAUGUGUAAGUAACUGUGCACAUCUUGACGGUACCUAAUCAGAAAGCCACGGCUAACUACGU
rnacentral:rRNA from 1 species